rnacentral:rRNA from 1 species
UACGUAGGGUGCGAGCGUUGUCCGGAAUUAUUGGGCGUAAAGGGCUCGUAGGCGGUUUGUCGCGUCGGGAGUGAAAACCCAGGGCUUAACCCUGGGCCUGCUUCCGAUACGGGCAGACUAGAGGUAUGCAGGGGAGAACGGAAUUCCUGGUGUAGCGGUGAAAUGCGCAGAUAUCAGGAGGAACACCGGUGGCGAAGGCGGUUCUCUGGGACGGUACUGACGCUGAGACGCGAAAGCGUGGGGAGCGAACAGG